GCGUAAUUGGUUUAGUGGUAAAAUUCUCCGUUGCCAUUCGAGCAGCAUCGGGGAGCCCAGGGUUCGAUUCCCUGAUUACGCA
rnacentral:tRNA from 2 species